UCGAAAUAUUUUGCUGUUGGGCCAUAACAUGUAUAGCUGAGCAGGGGCGUAGGAACCGGGGGCACGGGGAGCACGUCCCCCCCCCCCCGCAAAUUUUUCCAAAGGACUAAAAGUGACCCUUUUUGUGAUAAAAAUUGCCCUUUUUUGUGAUGAAAAGUGCCCUUUUUGUAGAAGCUAAUGUCGAAGCUAAUUGUAGGCGCCCUUUUUUUAAUUGUAGGUGCCUUUUUUGCUUUUUUUUUG